rnacentral:rRNA from 1 species
UACGAAGGGAGCUAGCGUUGUUCGGAAUCACUGGGCGUAAAGCGCACGUAGGCGGAUGUGUCAGUCAGGGGUGAAAUCCCGGAGCUCAACUUCGGAACUGCCUUUGAUACAGCACGUCUUGAGUCCGAUAGAGGUGGGUGGAAUUCCUAGUGUAGAGGUGAAAUUCGUAGAUAUUAGAAAGAACACCGGUGGCGAAGGCGGCCCACUGGAUCGGUACUGACGCUGAGGUGCGAAAGCGUGGGGAGCAAACAGG